rnacentral:rRNA from 1 species
AUAAUCUGUUUUGUUGUUGUCUAAAGCACCAAGUCCCAUCUGAUCUUGGAAGUUAAGCAAGGUCAACUCUAGCUAGUACUUGGAAGGGAGAUCACCAUUGAACCCCAGGUGCUGUUUCAA